rnacentral:rRNA from 1 species
CAACUGCAGUCGAGCGGACAGAUGGGAGCUUGCUCCCUGAUGUUAGCGGCGGACGGGUGAGUAACACGUGGGUAACCUGCCUGUAAGACUGGGAUAACUCCGGGAAACCGGGGCUAAUACCGGAUGGUUGUCUGAACCGCAUGGUUCAGACAUAAAAGGUGGCUUCGGCUACCACUUACAGAUGGACCCGCGGCGCAUUAGCUAGUUGGUGAGGUAACGGCUCACCAAGGCGACGAUGCGUAGCCGACCUGAGAGGGUGAUCGGCCACACUGGGACUGAGACACGGCCCAGACUCCUACGGGAGGCAGCAGUAGGGAAUCUUCCGCAAUGGACGAAAGUCUGACGGAGCAACGCCGCGUGAGUGAUGAAGGUUUUCGGAUCGUAAAGCUCUGUUGUUAGGGAAGAACAAGUGCCGUUCAAAUAGGGCGGCACCUUGACGGUACCUAACCAGAAAGCCACGGCUAACUACGUGCCAGCAGCCGCGGUAAUACGUAGGUGGCAAGCGUUGUCCGGAAUUAUUGGGCGUAAAGGGCUCGCAGGCGGUUUCUUAAGUCUGAUGUGAAAGCCCCCGGCUCAACCGGGGAGGGUCAUUGGAAACUGGGGAACUUGAGUGCAGAAGAGGAGAGUGGAAUUCCACGUGUAGCGGUGAAAUGCGUAGAGAUGUGGAGGAACACCAGUGGCGAAGGCGACUCUCUGGUCUGUAACUGACGCUGAGGAGCGAAAGCGUGGGGAGCGAACAGGAUUAGAUACCCUGGUAGUCCACGCCGUAAACGAUGAGUGCUAAGUGUUAGGGGGUUUCCGCCCCUUAGUGCUGCAGCUAACGCAUUAAGCACUCCGCCUGGGGAGUACGGUCGCAAGACUGAAACUCAAAGGAAUUGACGGGGGCCCGCACAAGCGGUGGAGCAUGUGGUUUAAUUCGAAGCAACGCGAAGAACCUUACCAGGUCUUGACAUCCUCUGACAAUCCUAGAGAUAGGACGUCCCCUUCGGGGGCAGAGUGACAGGUGGUGCA